AUCUGGGACCGAACGUCUAGGGACAAUGUUUGCAAAGCUAUAUAACUAUACGAUAUAUCUUGCUGGCUAACAAGCACUACGAAUAGUACUAAUAAUAACAAUGAGUAUUUUAGCGGAGCAGUAUGGAGUUACGCUGUUUUAGCGAAGGAUCCCAGAUUUAUCCAGACACGUCGACCAACUAUUCAGCUGCAGUCUGAUCAGACACCAAUGGAGGCGGAUGGCUGGUUUGUGGUUCCCAAGGAUUCGGCUCAGCAGGAAGAUCGCAAUGAGGAGGCUCCGGAAUCCGAUAACUCGAAAAUUUACCGAUUUUUAUAUGUGAUUAUUAUCCUCAUCAUUUGUAUUAUUUAUAUGGGAAAAGUUGUCGUACAAUUUACCAUGAAGCCCAAGAGGGAUCCUCGACCACAUGCCGACUAAAGGGACCGCAGAAAUCAUUCCCUUUUCUACUGCGGUACCACCAAGUUAUCAACCCCUUAAACAUCCAUUCACGUCACGACACAUUCUUCUACGUUGAUACUCCGAGGAUCAAUAUCCUUUUUCAUACUGUCAAGACUACUGCAUGGUGCACGUACAGUAAGUACGACUUUUCAUCCUUUUGAUUUAUUUUGCUGAUGCCAGCGGAUAUUGAUGGAACUCGUAACUAAAAACGUCUCUGUCGUUAAUAUCCUGUGCGUUAUGUCUUCUGUCUAGUUCUACACUGCGGUUACGAGCGUUUUCGUGUUUCUUCGGAUAUGUAAAAGAACCGAAAAGGUGGCACUUCAAGCAAAGUAUUGUACAUGUG